AAAUAUAUUGAUGCUUAUCAGGGAGUAUUUAUACAAUCCUCGGAAUAUUAUAAGUUAGUAAAACACAUAAAUAAUAAGAUUACAAUUAAGUUUACAAGGUCCCUAUGGCAUACCAGUUGUUAUGCCAAUAGCAGCGCUGGGCAGCUAAGUUGGUAAGGAUGAACUGUUGCGUUGCGGGAAAUCCAUCUCUAUACAAGUUCUCGGAUGAUGUUUUUGAACGGAACUUCGAUAGGCGAGAGGUGUAAGCACCGCGAGGUGUGAAGCGAUCUCGUACUAAACGACACUACUUUCACUUU
rnacentral:ncRNA from 1 species